rnacentral:rRNA from 1 species
CACGUAGGGAGCAAGCGUUGUCCGGAUUUAUUGGGCGUAAAGAGCGUGUAGGCGGCCAGGUAGGUCUGCUGUGAAAACUCGAGGCUUAACCUCGGGACGUCGGCGGAAACCAUUUGGCUAGAGUCCGGAAGAGGAGAGUGGAAUUCCCGGUGUAGCGGUGAAAUGCGCAGAUAUCGGGAAGAACACCCGUGGCGAAGGCGGCUCUCUGGGACGGUACUGACGCUGAGACGCGAAAGCGUGGGGAGCGAACAGG